UGCGUAGGCGGUUCUUUGUGUCCGCUGUGAAAUCCCCGGGCUUAACCUGGGAAUUGCAGUGGAAACUAGAGGACUCAGAAUCCGGCAGAGGGGGUGGAAUGCCACGUGUAGCAGUGAAAUGCGUAGAGAUGUGGCGGAACACCGAUGGCGAAGGCAGCCCCCUGGGCUGAGAUUGACGCUCAGGCACGAAAGCGUGGGGAGCAAACAGGAUUAGAUACCCUGGUAGUCCACGCCCUAAACGAUGAUCACUAGGUGUUGGGGAAGCGAUUUCCUAGUACCGCAGCUAACGCGUGAAGUGAUCCGCCUGGGGAGUACGGUCGCAAGAUUAAA
rnacentral:rRNA from 1 species